CACGUAGGGGGCAAGCGUUGUCCGGAUUCAUUGGGCGUAAAGAGCUCGUAGGCGGUUUGUCGCGUCGGGAGUGAAAUCAUCUGGCUUAACUGGGUGCUUGCUUUCGAUACGGGCAGACUAGAGGUAUGCAGGGGAGAACGGAAUUCCUGGUGUAGCGGUGAAAUGCGCAGAUAUCAGGAGGAACACCGGUGGCGAAGGCGGGUCUCUGGGCCGAUACUGACGCUGAGGAGCGAAAGCGUGGGGAGCGAACAGG
rnacentral:rRNA from 1 species